rnacentral:rRNA from 1 species
AUGAACGCUGGCGGCGUGCCUCAUACAUGCAAGUCGAGCGAACAGACGAGGAGCUUGCUCCUCUGACGUUAGCGGCGGACGGGUGAGUAACACGUGGAUAACCUACCUAUAAGACUGGGAUAACUUCGGGAAACCGGAGCUAAUACCGGAUAAUAUAUUGAACCGCAUGGUUCAAUAGUGAAAGACGGUUUUGCUGUCACUUAUAGAUGGAUCCGCGCCGCAUUAGCUAGUUGGUAAGGUAACGGCUUACCAAGGCAACGAUGCGUAGCCGACCUGAGAGGGUGAUCGGCCACACUGGAACUGAGACACGGUCCAGACUCCUACGGGAGGAAGCAGUAGGGAAUCUUCCGCAAUGGGCGAAAGCCUGACGGAGCAACGCCGCGUGAGUGAUGAAGGUCUUCGGAUCGUAAAACUCUGUUAUUAGGGAAGAACAAAUGUGUAAGUAACUAUGCACGUCUUGACGGUACCUAAUCAGAAAGCCACGGCUAACUACGUG